UGGCCUAGGCAGUCCAAGCGGUGCCAAGCUGCGUUCGUGCCACGGUGCAGAUGCGCUCCCUCUUUCUCCCCGGCCUGGGGCGCAGCUCUGUCCAGGCGCCUUCUGACCCUUCUGGAAGUGCUGGGGUGGCCGCGGGGCGGGCCUUCCCUCUCUCCUCCCCCUCCGCCCCGCCCUCCCCUCCGCUGCCCGUGUGUUUAUGCCAGGCCCACCCCACCGCCCCGCCGGACGCCCCAGCGCCUCGGCCCUUCGCCCGAAAGAGGAGCCAUGGAGAGGCAGGAGGACGCGGCCUCCGAGCAGGCAUUACCACUGAACAAUGGUCUCCAGCAUCAGGAAGCAGGCCCCGUCCUUUCUCAAGAUGUUAAGGAAUCUGCCUUGAAAGCCAACGCUGUAGCUCUGAAGACCAAAGACCUCAUUGCAGAGGGCAAAGCUGCCAAGCUGAAUGGGAUGUCAGGUGGCCGGAGCAUGAACCGUGAUCCCGAAGUUGUGGCACGAGAUGCCAAGGCAGUAAACGGAGGUGGCAGAGUGACAGAACUGACUGUCAAGACUGCAGAUGCAAAGGCCAAAGAGCUGGAUGAAGCUGAAAAUGGUCGGCUUGAAGCCACAGGAACAGAUUGUAAGCAAGUGAAUGCAAGUGGAAAGGAGGGUGUGAUGCUGGGAGACAUAAAUGAUGACAGGAAGGCCAGAGUCACUGCACCAGGUGGUAAAGAUGCCAGUCAGCAUAGCCAAGGACCUGACCGGGAUCCAAAAGAAACAGAAGCAAUCAUAACAACAACGUCCACAGCAGCAACAACAGCGGAAAGUACUCAGCUUGAACAGAGGAAUAAAGAAAGUGAUGGGGACAUAAUUUCUCUAGAUUGUGAAAUUCUUGGCUUUGGCCCUGACAUUGACUUUCUGGGGCCGGAUGCUGAGCUCUAUAUGCAGUUUAUGCGGAGCCACCACUGUUACGACGCCAUCCCCACCAGCUCAAAACUGGUAGUGUUUGACACCACUUUGCAGAUUAAGAAGGCCUUCUUUGCCAUGGUGGCUAAUGGGGUGCGAGCUGCUCCUCUCUGGGACAACAAAAAGAAAUGUUUUGUGGGUAUGCUGACUAUCACUGACUUUAUUAACAUCCUACAUCGUUACUACCGAUCACCUCUGGUUCAGAUAUAUGAGAUUGAGGAACACAAAAUUGAAACAUGGCGAGAGGUGUAUUUGCAAAGUUCCUACAAACCCCUAGUGUGCAUCUCCCCAAACGAUAGCCUCUUUGAUGCUGUUUAUUCCUUGAUUAAGAACAAAAUCCACCGGCUGCCUGUGAUUGAGCCCAUCUCAGGGAAUGUCCUUCACAUCCUGACGCACAAGCGCAUCCUCAAGUUUCUGCAUAUUUUUGGCGCCAUGCUUCCAAAGCCACGUUUCCUGCAGAGAACCAUCCAGGAGCUGGGCAUUGGCACCUUCCGGGAUGUUGCGAUUGUACUGGAGUCAGCUCCUGUUUACACAGCUCUGGAGACUUUUGUGGACCGCAGAGUCUCAGCAUUGCCAGUUAUUAAUGACAAAGGGAGUGUAGUUGGGCUCUACUCCCGCUUCGAUGUGAUUCACUUGGCUGCCCAGAAGUCCUACAAUAACCUGGAUAUCAGUGUGGGGGAAGCACUCAAACAACGUUCAGUCUGCCUGGAAGGAGUGCUCACAUGCCACCCUUACGAAACAAUGGAAGAGAUCAUUGAUCGUAUUGCCAAAGAGCAGGUCCAUCGCCUAGUUCUGGUGGAUGAGAAGAACGCUCCGCGGGGGAUCGUGUCCCUCUCUGACAUUCUCCAAGCUCUGGUGCUCACGCCUGCAGGUAUCGAUGCCCUAAACUCUUAAGCUGCUCGACGCUCCAUCCUUCCUCCAUUUGUACCCUCCAUUUCCUCCGCUUCUCUCCAGCUCAGGCAUCGACCGCUAUUCACUCUGAUGAUGGGAAAGACCACUUUCUACCCAGCACCUUGGGUUACUGCCACCGUGUCUCUUAAGCAGGGGAGCCAGACAAGGUGGGGCUUAUCCAUGCAGGACAAUGGUGAAUGAAAGCAAGAGAAGGAGGGGUAAAAUGGGAGAGGGGGAGAAUUUGGACUUCGGCACUGUUGGAAGAGGUUCAUCCCCUUCAACAUACUACAGUGUUCUGCUAGCAAGCUUGCUACAGAGAGGAGAGACUGCUGGUCUUCGCUGGCCACUUCAUCUGUUGUCCCUUGCCUCUUUCACUAGCCCACUGCUGACAGGAGAUGAUGUGCCUGGGUGUACGUAGGACUUCAACUUGCUUCAAAGCCACCUUACUUCAGCCUAAGCCAUUUGUUUGAAAUGAUACUACUGCUUUGGAUCCAAGAGCAAUUAAGGCUACUCACCUUCUCAAAGGAAAGCUCAAGUAGCAGCCACAGGCAGCUGAUUUGUUUAAAGCAGAUCCCAUUGCUUGACCACAGAGGAAGAUUUCCCCCAUUUGUCUAUCCUAUUUUGGAGGGGCAGGGGGGGAAAGGCAGGUUCUUCAGAGCUGCCUCCAGUACAAGACUGAGUAACAAAUGAGCAAAUUCAUUGUUUUUUUCCUUCAUGUUUCAUCAAGUCAGCAAUAGUGAGAGGAAUAAUUCAUUUUACAAGAGAGGUAGGCACUGGAUGCUUGUAAACUGCUAAGCCCCUCUCAAAAUGCAUUUCCUCUUGUUACUAGACCAGUAUGGGGCAGGAAACCUCUGGCCUUUUCAAAAUCUGUUGGACUGCAACUCUAUUCUGGACUAGAGUUCCUGAGACCUGUAAUACAAGAAUAUCACAGAGGGCAAUCCUGCAACAAUAGCCAAUGCCAUGUUUUUUGUAUAUUUGUAGCACAGGGAACCUGGCUCACAGCAGUUCAAGGCUUGAGGCCGGUAGGUAGGGAUGAUAAGUUUUGUAGUAGUCCCAAUACCAGGAAAUUUUCAAGUUCCCCAUCCCUGUGCUAGAAGGUAGGUAACAUGUUUCCAACAGAGUUUAUAAUGGUGGGAUCUUGAAUCAGGAAUGGGUACACUUUCAGUGCUUGUUCUCUUAUUUUCUGUUCAUUAAAUUUUCAUAUUAAGACACAAAUAA